AGCGAAGCAUGCUAAUGGGUGACGAGCGGCGGACGGGUGAGUAAUGUCUGGGAAACUGCCUGAUGGAGGGGGAUAACUACUGGAAACGGUAGCUAAUACCGCAUAACGUCGCAAGACCAAAGAGGGGACCUUCGGGCCUCUUGCCAUCAGAUGUGCCCAGAUGGGAUUAGCUAGUAGGUGGGGUAAUGGCUCACCUAGGCGACGAUCCCUAGCUGGUCUGAGAGGAUGACCAGCCACACUGGAACUGAGACACGGUCCAGACUCCUACGGGAGGCAGCAGUGGGGAAUAUUGCACAAUGGGCGCAAGCCUGAUGCAGCCAUGCCGCGUGUGUGAAGAAGGCCUUCGGGUUGUAAAGCACUUCAGCGAGGAGGAAGGUGGUGAACUUAAUACGUUCAUCAAUUGACGUUACUCGCAGAAGAAGCACCGGCUAACUCCGUGCCAGCAGCCGCGGUAAUACGGAGGUGCAAGCGUUAAUCGGAAUUACUGGGCGUAAAGCGCACGCAGGCGGUUUGUUAAGUCAGAUGUGAAAUCCCCGGGCUCAACCUGGGAAUGCAUUUGAAACUGGCAAGCUAGAGUCUCGUAGAGGGGGGUAGAAUUCCAGGUGUAGCGGUGAAAUGCGUAGAGAUCUGGAGGAAUACCGGUGGCGAAGGCGGCCCCCUGGACGAAGACUGACGCUCAGGUGCGAAAGCGUGGGGAGCAAACAGGAUUAGAUACCCUGGUAGUCCACGCUGUAAACGAUGUCGAUUUGGAGGUUGUGCCCUUGAGGCGUGGCUUCCGGAGCUAACGCGUUAAAUCGACCGCCUGGGGAGUACGGCCGCAAAGUUAAACUCAAAUGAAUUGACGGGGCCCGCACAAGCGGUGGAGCAUGUGGUUUAAUUCGAUGCAACGCGAAGAACCUUACCUACUCUUGACAUCCAGAGAACUUUCCAGAGAUGGAUUGGUGCCUUCGGGAACUCUGAGACAGGUGCUGCAUGGCUGUCGUCAGCUCGUGUUGUGAAAUGUUGGGUUAAGUCCCGCAACGACGCAACCCUUAUCCUUUGUUGCCAGCGGUUCGGCCGGGAACUCAAAGGAGACUGCCAGUGAUAAACUGGAGGAAGGUGGGGAUGACGUCAAGUCAUCAUGGCCCUUACGAGUAGGGCUACACACGUGCUACAAUGGCGUAUACAAGAGAAGCGA
rnacentral:rRNA from 1 species